GAUGAACGCUGGCGGCGUGCCUAAUACAUGCAAGUCGAACGAGGUGCUUUUGUAGCAAUACGAGAGUAUCCUAGUGGCGAACGGGUGAGUAACGCGUUGGUGACCUACCCCAAAGUGUGGGAUAACAGUUCGAAAGGAUUGCUAAUACCGCAUGUGGUCUUCGGAUUUAGAAACUGAUGACUAAAGGAGUAAUCCGCUUUGGGAGGGACCUGCGUCCCAUCAGCUAGUUGGUGAGGUAACGGCUCACCAAGGCGACGACGGGUAGGGGACCUGAGAGGGUGGCCCCCCACAAUGGAACUGAAACACGGUCCAUACACCUACGGGUGGCAGCAGUAGGGAAUAUUGCACAAUGGGGGAAACCCUGACGGAGCAACGCCGCGUGUGGGAGGACGCCCUUCGGGGUGUAAACCACUUUUCUUGGGGACGACGACCGACGGUACCCGAGGAAGAAGGACCGGCUAACUACGUGCCAGCCGCCGCCGUAAAAC
rnacentral:rRNA from 1 species